UCAUGGAGAACUGUGAUGAUAGCCAAAUCUUUAUUCCCUGUAAUGCAGGGACAUCAUUUCCGAUUAAGAGAAUAUCAUCCACAUACAAUACAAGAAAUACCACUACUGGAUCAUUAGCCCACUUAUAAAUAUAGGGCUCUUCUCCAUUCUUAAUGAAGCCAUACGUUUUGAUCGUCCUAUCAAAAUGUAUGUUCUAACUC
rnacentral:lncRNA from 1 species